rnacentral:rRNA from 1 species
AACGAACGCUGGCGGCGUGGCUAAGACAUGCAAGUCGAACGGACUGCUCAAUUUAUUGGACAGUUAGUGGCGAAAGGGUUAGUAACGGAUGGGUAACGUACCCUGUGCUUUGGGAUAGCGUCAUCCCGACUUCGGUCGGGAUUUCCGAAAGGGGCGGUAAUACCAAAUAAUAUCAUUUGUCUAUAGGCGGAUGAUCAAAGAUUUAUCGGCAUAGGAGCGGCCUGUCUCCUAUCAGCUUGUUGGUGAGGUAAUGGCUCACCAAGGCAGCGACGGGUAGCGGGACUGAGAGGUUGGCCCGCAACAUCGGGACUGAGACACUGCCCGGACCUCCACGGAGGGCUGCAGUAACGAAUAUUGUGCAAUGGGCGAAAGCCUGACACAGCGACGCCGCGUGUAGGAGGAAGUCCUUCGGGAUGUAAACUACUGUCAGGGGGAAGAAAGCGCGCUUCGGCGCAUUGAUCUAACCCAAAGGAAGUCACGGCUAACUUCGUGCCAGCAGCCGCGGUAAGACGAAGGUGGCGAGCGUUGUUCGGUAUCACUGGGCUUAAAGCGUGUGUAGGCGGAAAAGUAAGCGUUUCGUGAAAUCCCCCGGCUUAACCGGGGAACUGCGCAACGAACUGCUUUUCUUGAGGCAAGUAGGGGUGCAUGGAACUCUUGGUGGAGCGGUGGAAUGCGUAGAUAUCAAGAGGAACGCCAGUGGAGAAAUCGGUGCACUGGGCUUGUCCUGACGCUGAGACACGAAAGCGUGGGUAGCGAACGGGAUUAGAUACCCCGGUAGUCCACGCCGUAAACGAUGCCUACUAGGUUGUGACGGUUCUGACACCUGCACAGCCGAAGCAAAAGUGUUAAGUAGGCCGCCUGGGGAGUACGGUCGCAAGGCUA